UGAACUGUAAUAACAACAAUGUUGUGAUUACAGUUCACUGUUUAUAAUUGAAAAUGAUAAAAGAUAAGAUUAGAGGGUCAGCAAAAAACGAUGUACAUGUUGUAUGAGUUCAUGCUACGUAAUUGAUCGCUGAAUACGAAAACUUUUUUCUGCACUCGUCAAAAGCAGGAACAAAUAUUUUUGACACAGAAGAAAAACAUUGGCCAGACCACAGCAAACGGGUGCUAGCCCCACGUUUGGCUAUUGUUGUCAAAGAUGCAUCUGCAGCGAAAACAUUAUAUUCCAAAGUCAACAUCCACAAAGAUGCUUCCACCACCUGAAAAUGAACGAACACUAACUUGUUUCUUUUUCACCGGACUACUUCGAAGCAGAAUUCCGUUUGCAUUUGGGCAAGAAGAUAUUAGUUUCUGGUGUAUUUUGUCUACCGAUUCUAUAGCUGCUUGAAGAUCACCAACUUUAUCAACGAGAAAGGACGUGUUUUUUAUAGCAUCCAGUUUCUCAUGAAGAACUUUUCUCAACUUGGGUGUGUCGUGAUUUUGAAAUUUUCCUUCGCACAAUUUAGAAUUAAAAGCAGGAUGAAAAGA